rnacentral:rRNA from 1 species
AAAGAACCAACAGGGAUUGCCCUAGUAACGGCGAGUGAAGCGGCAACAGCUCAAAUUUGAAAUCUGGCGCAAGCCCGAGUUGUAAUUUGUAGAGGAUGCUUCUGGCCAGCGGCCGUUCUAAGUUCCUUGGAACAGGACGUCAUAGAGGGUGAGAAUCCCGUAUGUGACCGGCGCGCAGCCUUUACGUAGCUCCUUCGACGAGUCGAGUUGUUUGGGAAUGCAGCUCUAAAUGGGAGGUAAAUUUCUUCUAAAGCUAAAUACCGGCCAGAGACCGAUAGCGCACAAGUAGAGUGAUCGAAAGAUGAAAAGCACUUUGGAAAGAGAGUUAAAAAGCACGUGAAAUUGUUGAAAGGGAAGCGCUUGCAACCAGACUUCGUAGCGAUGUUCCGCUGGUCUUCUGACCGGUCUACUCAUCGUCGCGAGGCCAACAUCGUCUGGGCCCGCUGGAUAAGACCUAAGGAAUGUAGCUUCCCUCGGGAAGUGUUAUAGCCUGUGGUGAUGCAGCGUGGCUCGGGCGAGGUCCGCGCUUCGGCAAGGAUGUUGGCGUAAUGGUUGUCAGCGGCCCGUCUUGAAACACGGACCAAGGAGUCUAACAUCUAUGCGAGUGUUCGGGUGUCAAACCCCUACGCGUAAUGAAAGUGAACGGAGGUGGGAAGCGUAAGCUGCACCAUCGACCGAUCCUGAUGUCCUCGGAUGGAUUUGAGUAAGAGCAUAGCUGUUGGGACCCGAAAGAUGGUGAACUAUGCCUGAAUAGGGUGAAGCCAGAGGAAACUCUGGUGGAGGCUCGCAGCGGUUCUGACGUGCAAAUCGAUCGUCAAAUUUGGGUAUAGGGGCGAAAG